rnacentral:rRNA from 1 species
UGAGUGCGAGCUGCUACGGCAGCGAAGUUGGUGACGUCAAGCUUCCAAGAAAAGCCCUAUACCCGUUAAGGCAUGAUUACCUGUACCCGAAACCGACACAGGUGGGGUGGUAGAGAAUACCGAGGGGCGCGAGGUAACUCUCUCUAAGGAACUCGGCAAAAUGACCCCGUAACUUCGGGAGAAGGGGUGCCAGCGCGAGCUGGUCGCAGUGAAUAAGCCCAGGCGACUGUUUACCAAAAACACAGGUCUCCGCUAAGUCGCAAGACGAUGUAUGGGGGCUGACGCCUGCCCAGUGCCGGAAGGUUAAAGAAGUUGGUCAGCGCAAGCGAAGCUAACGACUGAAGCCCCGGUGAACGGCGGCCGUAACGAUAACGGUCCUAAGGUAGCGAAAUUCCUUGUCGGGUAAGUUCCGACCCGCACGAAAGGCGUAACGAUCUGGGCGCUGUCUCGGAGAGAGGCUCGGCGAAAUAGAAUUGUCUGUGAAGAUGCGGACUACGUGCACCCGGACAGAAAGACCCUAUGAAGCUUUACUGUAACUUGGUAUUGUGCUCGGGCUCGCAAUGCGCAGGAUAGGUGGGAGGCUUUGAUCCAUUGCUUGUGGGUGAUGGUGAGCCACUGGUGAGAUACCACUCUUUGCGAGCUAGGGUUCUAACGGUUACCCGUUAUCCGGGAACCGGACAGUAUCUGGUGGGCAGUUUGACUGGGGCGGUCGCCUCCUAAAAGGUAACGGAGGCGCGCAAAGGUUCCCUCAGGCUGGUUGGAAAUCAGCCGACGAGUGCAAAAGCAGAAGGGAGCUUGACUGUGAGACCUACAAGUCGAACAGGUACGAAAGUAGGCUUUAGUGAUGCGACGGUUCUGAGUGGAAGGGCCGUCGCUCAACGGAUAAAAGUUACUCUAGGAUAACAGGCUGAUCUCCCCCAAGAGUUCACAUCGACGGGGAGGUUUGGCACCUCGAUGUCGGCUCAUCGCAACCUGGGGCUGAAGUCGGUCCCAAGGGUUGGGCUGUUCGCCCAUUAAAGCGGUACGCGAGCUGGGUUCAGAACGUCGCGAGACAGUUCGGUCCAUAUCCGGUGCAUGCGCAGGAAUAUUGAGAGGAUUUCUCCCUAGUACGGGAGGACCGGGAGGAACGCACCUCUGGUGUACCAGUUAUCGUGCCAACGGUAAACGCUGGGUAGCCAUGUGCGGAGUGGAUAACCGCUGAAAGCAUCUAAGUGGGAAGCCCACCUCAAGAUGAGUAUUCCCAUGGCUUAAGCCAGUAAGGUCACGGGCAGAACACCCGUUGAUAGGCUCUAUGUGGAAGCGCAGUAAUGCGUGAAGCAGAGGAGUACUAAUAGACCGAGGGCUUGAA